rnacentral:rRNA from 1 species
CUACGUGCCAGCAGCCGCGGUAAUACGGAGGAUGCGAGCGUUAUCCGGAUUUAUUGGGUUUAAAGGGUGCGUAGGCGGCCUGUUAAGUCAGCGGUGAAAUCUAGGAGCUUAACUCCUAAAUUGCCAUUGAUACUGGCGGGCUUGAGUGUAGAUGAGGUAGGCGGAAUGCGUGGUGUAGCGGUGGAAUGCAUAGAUAUCACGCAGAACUCCGAUUGCGAAGGCAGCUUACUAAGGUACAACUGACGCUGAAGCACGAAAGCGUGGGUAUCAAACAGGAUUAGAUACCCUGGUAGUCCACGCAGUAAACGACGAUAACUGGGCGUAUGCGAUAUACAGUAUGCUCCUAAGCGAAAGCAUUAAGCAUCCCACCUGGGGAGUACGCCGGCAACGGUGAAACUCAAAGGAAUUGACGGGGGCCCGCACAAGCGGAGGAACAUGUGGUUUAAUUCGAUGAUACGCGAGGAACCUUACCCGGGCU